rnacentral:rRNA from 1 species
AACGGCCCACCAAGGCGACGAUCAGUAGCCGGACUGAGAGGUUGAACGGCCACAUUGGGACUGAGACACGGCCCAAACUCCUACGGGAGGCAGCAGUGGGGAAUAUUGCACAAUGGGGGAAACCCUGAUGCAGCGACGCCGCGUGAGUGAAGAAGUAAUUCGUUAUGUAAAGCUCUAUCAGCAGGGAAGAAAGUGACGGUACCUGAGUAAGAAGCCCCGGCUAACUAC